rnacentral:rRNA from 1 species
CAGCAGCCGCGGGAAUACGUAGGGUGCAAGCGUUAUCCGGAAUUAUUGGGCGUAAAGAGCUCGUAGGCGGUUUGUCGCGUCUGCUGUGAAAACUGGAGGCUCAACCUCCAGCCUGCAGUGGGUACGGGCAGACUAGAGUGCGGUAGGGGAGAUUGGAAUUCCUGGUGUAGCGGUGGAAUGCGCAGAUAUCAGGAGGAACACCGAUGGCGAAGGCAGAUCUCUGGGCCGUAACUGACGCUGAGGAGCGAAAGCAUGGGGAGCGAACAGGAUUAGAUACCCCCGUAGUCCCUGUCUCUUAUAC